rnacentral:lncRNA from 1 species
CCUAAGUCCAACCUGGAUUCUUUGGAUGUAAGAACCCCUGGACACAUGUUUCAGGUUCUCUUAGCUCUUUGGUCCCUCUAGUCUUAGCAGGGCACUCUUCAUUGGCCACUUAGGUUCCUAGGUUCCUGGGACCUGCCAUGCUUUGGCCUUCCCUUAGGACCUAGAGAAUCAUAUCUGUUCCUGGAAGUCCUGAAGGUGUUUAUCAAAACAUGGCCAGCAGGUGUGGUCUGGGCUUUACCUAGGAAGUGAGAUGUAGUCUGAGAGUUCUCAAGAGGCCUUUGCUGGCUCUUGACCAGACAGUGCCGUUCCCAGUGUUUGAACAGACUGGGCCGUUUCUGAAUGUCACAGAAGUGAAUGUCACAAAACUGGGGUGUUGGCGCUUUCAAGGUUGCUCAAGGAUCUGUAACAGGGAUGGGCAGUCCAUGGAGGAAUGACACGUACUCUUGCUGAGAAUCUGUUCCUGGGGUACCCUGGAAUGUCUUGCUGGGAACUAACAUUAAUUGGCUCUGGGGGUACAUUGUUUUCCAGAAGGCUCUGUACCCAGAGAAAGGUUCCAGAAUUUUGCCAAGUUGGGGACCCAAGGUUCACAGAGAGCAGGGCCAUACUCAGGGCCAUGGGCAUAUUUGUUCAACAAGCAGUGACAUUACAGUAAGAAUGUAGAGUGGUUGUUGACAGGCUUCCAUCUGAGGUAGGCUGAACACUUGGGUCUUCUGACCUGGGGUUGGGUGGGGUUUCUCCUACUGCCCUCUAUUUCCCCCUUCUCACUGUUUUUUCACCAGUGUAGGCCUGGCCUUCAGCCCCUGGGGCAAGCCUGACCUGAAGUCCUUUUUUCAGGAGAGGCUCCAAAGAUCAUUAUUUCUACCUCAACCAGGAAAUCAAGUAGCCAAUAGGCGGCAGGAGCCUGAGCUGCAGCCUAGAGUCACGCUUCUGCCUCCCAGCCACACAGUGGCCAAGAGCAGGGACCUGCUUCCUGGAGUGGCUGAAAGUGCUCGGACGGACAGCCAAGCCCAUCAUGGCGGACAGCGGGACAGUGGGGCGCGAUCAGGCACUUGGAGCCAGGCAGGUGAGGGCAGGGGCCAAGAGGAGCUGGAGGCCCGAGGGUCCUAUUCUGGUCCCAGGGCUUGGGGAUACCCACCACCGUGGGCUAGCAGGAGGAUGGACGUGGACUUGAUCCCAAGAGCCUGGCCUGGCCGCAGCAGCAGCUCUACAGAAUCAAG